rnacentral:lncRNA from 1 species
AUUUUGUGUCAAUUCCCUUUUCCCUUUCUCUAUCAAGGCUGUGACCCGGGUUUGCCUCGGGAGCUCGUCUUCCCCCAGCAUCGAGAACGAGCGACCUCGCGCGUGUCUGUGCCUGUGCGCUCCCCUGUCUUUUCCUAGUCCCGUCCCCUUUAUUGGGUUGGUUCGGAACACGAGGAGGCUGUUCAGUAAGGUCUGGUGGCAGAACGCGAGCAAGUUUGCGGUAUGCGAGCGCCCCUCCCCGUGUUUGCCCGCUGAAGUCAGGGCUCCUGGGCAGUCCCGAGAGAAGCAGGGCUCUGAAGAAGCUCCUUCAAGUCUUAGGGCAGGGUGGGUUGGAUUUUUUAGAGAAAGAGACCUGGGCGGCGUUGGGCUGAAAGCUACCCGGCGCAGGCGAUGGCAGCGACAAGGGAGAAUGACCUUUAUGCUGAAAAUUAAAGCAAAGAUGACUACCAGGGACUCAAUACCCAAGAUAACUAUGGAGACAGCAGGAAAAUACCUCUCUGCUCUUGAAAUGAAAUCACUUGGAUCUGAAGAACUGCAUCUUUGGGUACUGAAAAAAGUGGAAGCUAUAAUUGAUGAGCCACUGUCAGUGAUAUUUGAAUCAUCAUGGAAAACAGAAGAAUGACUAGAUUGGAGAAGGGGAAAAUGUCCUGAUUUUUAUUUAAAAAGGAGUUACAAUGGAGUCUAGAAAGUAUAGACUAGUGAAUUUAACUUUAAAGUCCUGGGAAAAUUGGAGAAUGAAUCAUGAAAGAGAUGGUUGGGAUAUUAUCUAAAGGAAGUGGUGAUUACAAAGUGUUUUGUCAAGAACAGAGCAUUCUAGACUGAACUCAUUUAAAAAAAAAUCAUUACUAAAUUAGAAUUAUUCUGUAAAUGUAGUUUACCUAGAUUUUGGCAACAUGUUCUCAUACAAUUUAAAAUGUUGUGUUUUUUUAUAGAUGUUUUCUGGUUUUAGAUCAUGAUAGCUUUCAAUAUUUUCUCUCCUCUCCCCCUUCCUUAAAAUGAUUUCAAAUUAAAAAGAUUUUUUUGAUGAAAAAGAAAAAGAAGAGUAAACAUAUCAUGAUUGAUGAUAUAUUGAGAAAACAUAAAAAUAUAUGCAAUGUGCAAAACCCACGGACCUCCCCCCCCAAAUUCACUAAUGGGUAGUUUGAGGGUGGCCUCCAUAUCUCAUCAUUUGAACCAUGUAUUCUUUAUAGUUUGUUAAUUCACUUUGAUUUUUUUAAAUGUAUGUCUUUUCAUUCAUUGUGUUGCAGUCAUUAUGUAUAUUGUUUUGUUGGUUCUACUUACUUCAUCUACUUUAGUUCAAGUAGCUCUUUCCAUGCUUCUUUCUACUUAUUACAUUCAUCAUUUCUUAUGAGUAAUAUUACAUUAUAUUCAUGUAGCAAAAUUUGUCUACCUAUUACCCAAUCAGUGGGCAUUUGCCUUGUUUCCAAUUCUUUGUUUUGACAAAAAAUGUUGCUUUAAAUAUUCAGUGUAUACGGAGACUUUUCCUCUUAUCAAUCUCUUGCUUGCAGUACAAACCUAGCAAUGAAAUUUCUGGUCCAAAGUCACUUUAUCUGAAUAAUUCCAAAUUGCUUUCUAAAAAUGAUUGUACCAUUUCACAGUUCUACCAAUAAUAAAUUAAUAAACACAACAUUGACUUUUGCUGUA